rnacentral:rRNA from 1 species
CACGGGGGGAGCAAGCGUUGUUCGGAAUCACUGGGCGUAAAGGGCGUGUAGGCGGUCAAGUAAGUGGAAUGUGAAAGCCCCCGGCUUACCCGGGGAUCUGCAUCCCAAACUGCUUGGCUUGAGUACGGGAGAGGAUAGGGGAAUUCCUGGUGUAGCGGUGAAAUGCGUAGAUAUUCGCAAGAACACCAGUGGCGAAGGCGGCUCACUGGCCCGAUACUGGCGCUGAGGUGCGAAAGCGUGGGGAGCAAACAGG